AGUCUGGCCUGCCCAAUGAUAAUUUUUAAAUGGCUGCAGUAUCCUAACUGUACAAAGGUAGCAUAAUAAUUUGUCUUAUAAUUGAAGAAUGGAAUGAAUGGUUUGACAAGGAUGAGGCUGUCUCUUGUGUAUUUGUUUGAAGUUAAUUUUCAGGUUAAAAGGCUUGAAUUAAAUUAAAGGACGAGAAGACCCUAUUGAGCUUAAAUUAGCAAUAAUGUUAAUAGGAAAUGAUUAAAAUUUAUUAUGAGGUUGUAAAUUUUAGUUGGGGCGACUAAGGGGUAUAAAAAGCUCCCUUUGUGUUUGUAAAAAGUUGUUUGUUGAUCCAGUUGUUUUGAAUUAAGAUCAAGCUACCAUAGGGAUAACAGCGUUAUUUUUUUUGAGAGUUCUAAUCGAAAAAAGAGAUUGCGACCUCGAUGUUGGAUUAAGAUUUAAUGAAGGUUGUAGAAGCUUUUAUGGUUAGUCUGUUCGA
rnacentral:rRNA from 1 species